UACGGGGGGGGCAGGCGUUGUUCGGAAUUACUGGGCGUAAAGGGCGCGUAGGCGGCCUGCUAAGUCGAACGUGAAAUCCCCGGGCUCAACCCGGGAACUGCGUCCGAUACUGGUUGGCUUGAAUCCGGGAGAGGGAUGCGGAAUUCCAGGUGUAGCGGUGAAAUGCGUAGAUAUCUGGAGGAACACCGGUGGCGAAGGCGGCAUCCUGGACCGGCAUUGACGCUGAGGCGCGAAAGCCAGGGGAGCAAACGGG
rnacentral:rRNA from 1 species